GAUGAAGAACGUAGCGAAAUGCGAUAGGUAAUGUGAAUUGCAGAAUUCAGUGAAUCAUCGAAUCUUUGAACGCGCAUUGCGCCCUUUGGUAUUCCUUAGGGCAUGCCUGUUCGAGCGUCACUACACACCUUAUCACAAUAUUUGUGGUCUUGGCAGGAGUGAAUUGCUGGUCUAUGGAAGUAUUCCAGCAGUACACAAUGCUAAAAAAUAUGGGAAGGUUACCAGAUAUGAACAACAGACUUUGUAAAUGGUUGUAGGACCUAGAUCAGUCACAACUCAUGUCUGGUCCCUUACCUUAAGGACCCCCAUCCUAGAUGAACUAUGGGUUGACCUCGGAUCAGGUAGGAAUACCCGCUGAACUUAAGCAUAUCAAUAAGCGGAGGA
rnacentral:misc_RNA from 1 species